GGGAGUCAAUGCAGUCCCUUUAGAAAGUAUUGCUGAAUGGAGCAUUUAAAAAAUAGCUGAAGCAACUAAAAAAAACAUAAAUAUGAAUUGGAAGAUAAAGUAGAAAGAUGUCACAAGAAUUCCUUUAAAGCAGCCACCAUUGCGCUCAGGGACUGGUGAGCAGCAUCCAGAGAUCUGCACUCGUCCCCUGCCCAGAGUCUGAGGAGCAGUGAACUGAAGAUUUGAUGCGUUCAGAAGCCAGUGGAGGCCACGCUCAAAAUGAUGUGCAGACUAUGAAAUGACGUUAUGGCCGCCUGCAGGCCUCCAUCACACAGACAGCUGUUUAACCUGCCAGCAACUGCCUCAAACAGGUCUAAAUGCUUGUCCAGCGAGCUCCUCAUGCUGCCAUGAUGGAGAAUAAAACAACCUCUCCAGCUGGAAGAACAAGUGCUGUGUGGGCGCCCUGAAGUGGUGCAACACUGGGUCAUUGGAGAGCCACGACGUGUUUGGGAACAGAACAGCCUGUGUUUUUUCAGCACAGCCUGUUGGAUGAAGGGCCAUUUCACAGGCAUUAUGGAUUAAUCUUUGGCAGGAUCUCUCCAGGAUCAAACAAAAUUGGAUGUUUAACCUCACAUGUCCUAGAGCUGAGAGUUCUCUUGUGAUAAACCAGGAUAGAGAGGAUUGAAUGUGACCCACACUGAAUUAAUCAUCCCAUGCAUCUAAAUUUUUUUUAGUGAUUGAGUG